rnacentral:rRNA from 1 species
AUGGACCUCUGGCAUCACUCCAUCCAGCUCAGUGCGGGUCCUGGCUCGCCGGCUGCCGCGACGGCGGCACAGCAGGGCGAUGGCGGCACGAUGAGCCCCGAGCUGUACCUUGCCCUGUGCCGGGGGAGAAAGAAGGAAGCCAUGGCGCUGCUUCGGCAACAGCACGGUGGCGCCGCCGCCGCCGCUAAUCAGGUUGCCGGCAUACACCAGGUCAGCGCGGAGGGGAACAGCGUCCUUCAUCUGGCCGCGGAGCACGGGCACGACAAGCUCAUCCACGAUCUCGCGAGCUUCGGGGAUAGGAGCUUGCUCUCUUCCCGAAACUCGACUCUGGACACACCUCUGCACUGCGCGGCGAGGGCAGGGCAUGGCAAGGCCGUGUCCCUCCUCGUCCGGCUCUCAUGCGAGGGCGGAGACGACAGCACCUUGUGGUGCAAGAACGAGGCUGGGAACACGACCCUUCAUCUGGCGGCGAGGCUCGGCCAUGGCGCAGCAGUCGAGGCUAUGGUCUCCGCGGCGCCGGGGCUAGCCUCUGAGGUCAACAACGCCGGCGUGUUGGCGCUCUACUGGGCGGUGAUAAGCAGGUCGGCGCCAGCCGUCAGAUCGAUAACGACCAGGUGCGGCAACACGUCAGCUGCUGGCCUGAGCUCGCAGAAUGCUCUGCACGCCGCCGUCUUCCAGGGCUCAGAAAUGGUGAGGCUGCUAUUGGAGUGGAUGCCAUGUGGCCCAUCCCUGGUUAGCCAAGUCGACGACACCGGCAGCACUCCGCUUCAUUUUGCUUCGUCCACCGGUGACCACCUCUCCGUCGUAGGCGCCAUCCUACGCGCCGUGCCGCCGUGCGUGGUGCGCAUGCGGGACUCCGGCGGCCUCUCCGCUCUCCAUGUCGCGGCGGGGAUGGGCCACGACCACGUCGCCGAGGCGCUGAUCAAGGCCUGCCCCGACGCCGCCGAGCUCCGGGACGACCGCGGCGGGACCUUUCUGCACGCCGCGGCCAGGGGAGGCCACCUCAAGGUGGUGCGGCUGGCCAUCAAGAAACGGACGCUGCGCGGCCUCCUGAACGCGCAGGACGGGGACGGCAACACGCCUCUCCACCUGGCGGUGGCCGCGGGCGAGCCGGCCAUCGCGGAGGCCCUGAUGGGGAAGGGCAAAGUGCGGGACGACGUCAUGAACAACGAUGGCCAGAAGCCGCUGGACCUCGCCGUGAGAUCGACUAGCUUCUUCUCCAUGGUCAGCCUGGUGGCGACGCUGGCCGCGUUCGAAGCGCAGUCCCGUCCCGAGAGGCGGGACCGCGUGCAGCAGUGGGACGGCCGCGAGAUAACGAAGGCGAUAGAGAAGACGUCCGAUAGCCUUGCGGUGAUCGCCGUCCUCGUUGCCAGCGUCGCCUUCCCCGCCGCCAACAACCUGCCCGGGUCGUACGAGCAGAGCGGCGGCGGCACCGAUCCGGAGGGGAAGGAGGUGAUCAAAGGCAUGGCGGUCCUCCAGCACGAGGCCAUCUUCAAGUGCUUCCUCAUCCUGGACAGCUUCGCCCUGGUGACCUCCGUGCUCGCGGUGGUGCUGCUCCUCUACGGCAAGGCGUCGCGCUCGGCCGGGUCGUGGAAGACCUUCGGGGCGGCCCUGCACUGCCUGUGGCUUUCCAUGGUAAGCAUGGUCCUGGCGUUCUACGCGGCCCUGGCCGCUGUCACGAGCACGGCGGCGGUCCGCGGCAUCGCCUACAACAUCAUACGCAAUGCCCUUUUCGUGCUGUUAGCCGUGGUCUCGCACUUCGUCAGCCCUCGGGUGUCGUCCCGCACACUAUCCAAGUACCUGUGGCAUAGAGGAUGUCACAGUGUCAUCGUGCAGCAAUAUCCACUCGUCGGCGCUUUCUUGCGCAAUCUGAUUCUGUUCAGGGUUGCAAAUUAUGUUGUAGUGCUUGUGGGCGUUACCACGGUCUUAGCACUUCGGUGA